GGAGAUGUGGUAGCGCUUUAAAAAAGUGAGGAAAGUCCGAGCACCACAGGACAAAAUACCUGCUAACGGCAGGCGGAGGCGACUCUAGGGAAAGUGCAACAGAAAUAAACCGCUUAAAAUUUAGGUUUUAAGUAAGGAUGGAAAGGCGAGGUAAGAGCUCACCGGAACACAGGAAACUGUGUUGCCAUGUAAACCCUAUUUGGUGCAACAUCGACAGAAAAAAUUGCUUGUCCGGCAUAUUUCGAAAGAUGGCUAGAACAUUACGGCGAUGUAAUGUCAAGAUAGAUUAUCACAAUAACAGAACUCGGCUUAUCAUCUCAGUC
rnacentral:RNase_P_RNA from 1 species